ensembl:lncRNA
UGCAUGCAUCUCCUUAAAAAGUUACUUCUCCAAGAAGAAAUGCGAUGUCACCUGUCUGUAGUGUGAGCAGGCAUACUGAGUCAGUGAGUCAGAGAGAGAGUGUCUGUAGUGUGAGCAGGCAUACUGAGUCAGUGAGUCAGAGAGAGAGUGUCUGUAGUGUGAGCAGGCAUACUGAGUCAGUGAGUCAGAGAGAGAGUGUCUGUAGUGUGAGCAGGCAUACUGAGUCUGAGUCAGAGAGAGAGUGUCUGUGUCUGUAGUGUGAGCAGGCAUACUGAGUCUGAGUCAGAGAGAGUGUCUAUAUCUGUAGUGUGAGCAGGCAUACUGAGUCAGUGAGUCAGAGAGAGAGUGUGUCUGUAGUGUGAGCAGGCAUACUGAGUCAGUGAGUCAGAGAGAGAGUGUGUCUGUAGUGUGAGCAGGCAUACUGAGUCAGUGAGUCAGAGAGAGUGUCUGUGUCUGUAGUGUGAGCAGGCAUACUGAGUCAGUGAGUCAGAGAGAGUGUCUGUAUCAGUAGUGUGAGCAGGCAUACUGAGUCUGAGUCAGAGAGAAAGUGUCUGUAGUGUGAGCAGGCAUACUGAGUCAGUGAGUCAGAGAGAGAGUGUGUCUAGUGUGAGCAGGCAUACUGAGUCAGUGAGUCAGAGAGAGUGUCUGUAUCAGUAGUGUGAGCAGGCAUACUGAGUCUGAGUCAGAGAGAAAGUGUGUCUGUAGUGUGAGCAGGCAUACUGAGUCAGUGAGUCAGAGAGAGAGUGUGUCUAGUGUGAGCAGGCAUACUGAGUCAGUGAGUCAGAGAGAGUUUUUCUGUGUCUGUAGUGUGAGCAGGCAUACUGAGUCAGUGAGUCAGAGAGAGUUUUUCUGUGUCUGUAGUGUGAGCAGGCAUACUGAGUCAGUGAGUCAGAGAGAGAGUGUCUGUAGUGUGAGCAGGCAUACUGAGUCAGUGAGUCAGAGAGAG